UACGUAGGGGGCAAGCGUUGUCCGGAAUCAUUGGGCGUAAAGCGCGUGUAGGCGGUUUGGUAAGUCCGCUCUGAAAGCCCGGGGCUCAACCCCGGGAGGCGGGUGGAUACUGUCAAGCUCGAGUCCGGAAGAGGCGAGUGGAAUUCCUGGUGUAGCGGUGAAAUGCGCAGAUAUCAGGAGGAACACCAAUGGCGAAGGCAGCUCGCUGGGACGUGACUGACGCUGAGACGCGAAAGCGUGGGGAGCAAACAGG
rnacentral:rRNA from 1 species